CGACAUGCUCAUAACKRAMRACGCKGGCGGCGUGCCYAACACAUGCAAGUCGAACGGUAACAGGGACYUCGGUCCGCUGACGAGUGGCGCACGGGUGAGUAACGCGUGGGGUUACCUGCCCAUCAGUGGGGAACAACUKGGAGAAAUCCAAGCUAAUACCGCAUAAUACCUUCGGGUUAAAGAGGGGGAUCUUCGGACCUCUCGCUGAUGGAUGGUCCCGCGUCUGAUUAGCUAGUUGGUGGGGUAAAAGCCUACCAAGGCAAUGAUCAGUAGCUGGUCUGAGAGGAUGAUCAGUCACACUGGAACUGAGACACGGUCCAGACUCCUACGGGAGGCAGCAGUGGGGAAUAUUGCACAAUGGGCGAAAGCCUGAUGCAGCGACGCCGCGUGCGGGAAGAAGGCCUUCGGGUUGUAAACCGCUUUCAACAGGGAAGAAGGAAUGAGGGCCAAUACCCCUCUGCCUUGACGGUACCUGUAGAAGAAGCACCGGCUAAUUUCGUGCCAGCAGCCGCGGUAAUACGAAAGGUGCAAGCGUUGUUCGGAUUUACUGGGCGUAAAGAGAUCGUAGGUGGCUUGUUAAGUCGAAUGUGAAAUCCCGGGGCUCAACCCCGGAACUGCAUCCGAUACUGGCAGGCUUGAGUUCGGGAGGGGUAAGCGGAAUUCCGUGUGUAGCAGUGAAAUGCGUAGAUAUACGGAGGAACACCUUGAGGCGAAGGCGGCUUACUGGACCGAUACUGACACUGAGGAUCGAAAGCGUGGGUAGCAAACAGGAUUAGAUACCCUGGUAGUCCACGCCCUAAACGAUGUCAACUAGCCGUUGCGGGUAUCGACCCCUGCAGUGGCGCAGCUWACGCGAUAAGUUGACCGCYKGGGGAAGUACGGUCGCAAGAKAACUCAAUGAUACG
rnacentral:rRNA from 1 species